rnacentral:rRNA from 1 species
AUCAACGCUGGCGGCGCGCUUAACACAUGCAAGUCGAACGAGAAAGUGGAGCAAUCCAUGAGUAAAGUGGCGUACGGGUGAGUAACACGUGGGUAAUCUACCUCUGGGUGGGGAAUAACCCUGGGAAACCGGGGCUAAUACCGCAUAAGCCUGGAAAGGGAAAGGCGAAAGUCGCCGAGAGAGGAGCCCGCGGCCGAUUAGCUAGUUGGUAGGGUAAAAGCCUACCAAGGCGAUGAUCGGUAGCCGGCCUGAGAGGGCACACGGCCACACUGGCACUGAAACACGGGCCAGACUCCUACGGGAGGCAGCAGUGGGGAAUCUUGCACAAUGGGGGCAACCCUGAUGCAGCGACGCCGCGUGAGCGAUGAAGCCCUUCGGGGUGUAAAGCUCUUUCGGCUGGAACGAUAAUGACGGUACCAGCAGAAGAAGCUGCGGCUAACUACGUGCCAGCAGCCGCGGUAAUACGUAGGCAGCGAGCGUUGUUCGGAGUUACUGGGCGUAAAGAGUGCGUAGGCGGUGGCCUAAGUCUGGUGUGAAACCUCCCGGCUCAACUGGGAGGGUGCGCCGGAAACUGGGUUGCUAGAGUGUGGGAGAGGCUAGCGGAAUUCCUGGUGUAGCGGUGAAAUGCGUAGAUAUCAGGAGGAACACCUGUGGCGAAAGCGGCGCACUGGACCACAACUGACGCUGAGGCGCGAAAGCUAGGGGAGCAAACAGGAUAGAUACCCUGGUAGUCCUAGCCCUAAACUAUGGAUGCUUGGUGUGUCGGGUACCCAAUCCCGACGUGCCGCAGCUAACGCGUUAAGCAUCCCGCCUGGGGAGUACGGUCGCAAGGCUGAAACUCAAAGGAAUUGACGGGGGCCCGCACAAGCGGUGGAGCAUGUGGUUCAAUUCGACGCAACGCGAAGAACCUUACCUGGGCUCGAAGCGCAGUGGACCGGGGUAGAAAUAUCCCUUUCCGCAAGGACCGCUGCGGAGGUGCUGCAUGGCUGUCGUCAGCUCGUGUCGUGAGAUGUUGGGUUAAGUCCCGCAACGAGCGCAACCCUUAUCGUCAGUUGCCACCGGGUCAAGCCGGGCACUCUGGCGAAACCGCCUCGGAUAACGGGGAGGAAGGUGGGGAUGACGUCAAGUCCUCAUGGCCUUUAUGUCCAGGGCUACACACGUGCUACAAUGGUCGGUACAAACCGUCGCAAACCCGCGAGGGGGAGCUAAUCGGAAAAAAGCCGGCCUCAGUUCGGAUUGGAGUCUGCAACUCGACUCCAUGAAGCUGGAAUCGCUAGUAAUCGCAGAUCAGAACGCUGCGGUGAAUACGUUCCCGGCCUUGUACACACCGCCCGUCACAUCACGAAAGUGGACUGCACUAGAAGCCGGCGUGCCAACCGCAAGGGGGCAGCCGUCCAAGGUAUGGUUCAUGAUUGGGGUG